AGACCAUGAUGGGGGCAACGCUUAAGUAGAUCUUUCUGUCUAUCCCAGGCUUCAUAUAACGACUCACUAUUAAACUAUAUGAAUGAAGCGAUAUCAUUCCUCAUUUU
rnacentral:snoRNA from 1 species